CAAGAUUUUGUUCGUGAAGAGCUCAUAUUCGGGGAAAACAUUUGCGUACGCAAGAUGCACGUCGGAAGUUAUUCAGUGGGUGUAGGGGGUUAUAUCCGCAUUAUAUCCCCUUAUAACCUCCCUGUAACUUAACUGUACCUAUCGGAACUACAAAAGUGCGGAACAUAUUUGUAGGUUACAUGUAGAUUAUAAGUCGAUUACAUAGGAUAUAAUGCGGAUUUAAUACCCUGAUAAGUCUAAAUAACCUCCAAAUAUUUUCCCAUAUUCGGACAGGUAGGCAAAUGAGCAAUAAUUUUUUUGUCUUCUAACUGUAAAUGAGCCAAACACUUUUUUAUUUUUAUCUGAAAUUGAGUCGUUCAUUGGAGUGCUCUCUUCGCCCCUCUUCUCGCACUUUCCUUGCCUGCCGUCCACCGUCUUCUGCAGCAUCACUCGCACAUGGACGAUCCCUUUGCCUCCAUCAUAUCUGAAUGCAUAAUACCCCCAGCGGUAGAAGAAACCCUCCGUCAUGCACCGGUAAUCGGCGAACCCUCCUCGUCAUCUCAAAUCCGCAGCCUCGACGGACAGACCUUCUCCCCUGCUCCUAAUCCCAGCGCCUCAUCGGAGAUUCGUAGGCUUGCUAAGUCUCCAUUGAAUCCGCUAGAUAAAGAGAGCCUAACGGACAUCGCUUCCCGCAAAGAGCCGUCUUCGUUGCCUCCGCCGCGCCUUCGGCGGGAAGAUUUAAUCAACCUAAUCAAAUAUUUCGCCGAAAAUUCUGACAGAAGCUUAGGUCGUGUAGACAUUCUCGAAAUUGCCGAAAGAAAAGGUCUUUCCUUUCCUCCACCCGAGUGGUGGCGACCUGGUGGCUACAAAAAGGCUCCGUAGAUGCUGGGUGUUAUGAUGCUUUCCUAUUUUGGGGCAGAGAUGAUUUUGCUUUCUAGCUUUCUGCACCUAUCCUACUUCUAUGACGCCUUCCAACUGUUUGAUUAAUUGACAAUGACAGUUUUUAGAAUGACGUCUCUGUUUAGCCGGCCUAGCAUUGCCAACCAGCACGAGCCAUUAUAGUGCACUCAAAAGUUGACUGGCCAAGGAAAGGACAAUUUGACUACAGUAUUGAGGAAAGCAAGUUAUAGACUAGAUGAACUUCAGAGAUUCUGUGUACAGUCUCUGAGAAGCGUGGGAU